AAACGAAUUUUUUAACAAUAAGUAAUACUGCGGCUGAAUUUCUCGCAAGCGAUUUCGCGAAAGGUUCGGGCAUCACAUUGCAAGAUUUCUAAGCUGACGUAGAAUUUCAAGUUACAGUGAGAGAUGCUAAAACGCGUAUCGGAAUGCUAUUUUCUCUCAAAUCAUCAAUUUAACAGUUCGACGUGAGUAUGUGACACGCGAUAACGUGCCUUUUCCCUGCUUUUCCCGCCACGAGUAUAACCCAUGUUCAUGCGCGGUUGCCGCGUGUUCUCGAUCUUUCGCUAACCUGCAUGAAAACUUUUCUAAAAAAAAAAA
rnacentral:lncRNA from 13 species